UAUCGGUCCUCUCGCAAUACUAGUACGUGAACCCGGUCAGGUCCGGAAGGAAGCAGCCGAAGCGUAUGACGUGUGUGCCGGGAUGUGGCUGGUAAGG
rfam:Rheinheimera sp. SA_1 Contig_2, whole genome shotgun sequence.